CGUUACUUUUUUUUAAAAAAAAACACGACCUCCCCCUGUCGCGAUAGGGUUCGAGGGACUGCACAACUAUGGAAAGUCUGAUCCAGCUCGGGCCUUUGUGGGGAGGCAGCUCGCUUGCGCCGGGCAGCACGGGGACCGGCGAGGACGGCGCAGCUGCGGGGAGGCAGCGCGGGGAGGACGAAGCGGCUACAGGAUGGCACAACUGUGGAUAGGUGGCAUGACUGCGUCAGGCUCAGGCGGUGCGGGGAGGACGGCGCAGCUGUGGGUAGGCGGUGUGACUGCGUCAGGCUCAGGCGACGCGAGGAGGACGACACAGCUGCGGGGGAGGCGACGCGAAGAAGACGGCACAACUGCGUCAGGCGUCAUGGGGAGCACGGCGCAACUGCGGCGGCGGGGAGAUUGCUGGAUUCAUCGAGAUUCUGAAGCGUCGGCUUCGUCAGGUACGCCGUAUCCUCAAGUGCUACUCCAUGAAGAGCACUGCGUAAUACGGAAUCGGGCAUGAUGACGGUGUCUGCAUCGACAUGGAUUCCGCCCAACAUGUGUUCGAUAAAAUGCACUCAAGGUGCUUGUCCUCCAAGGUUACCUCUCUAGCACUCAUGAUGAUCUCCUUCCUCGUCGGUGUGCCUUUGGCCUAAGUGAUUGACGCUGCACGACGACAUCGUGUAAAUAGCAGCGACACAUGAGCGUUAUAGUCGGAUGAGAUAUCCCAGCCUAAGGUUAUUUGGUCCCUUCAUUUUUUUUUGCGGAAACAAGAGGGGUCAAGGACCCCAGGUCACUGUAAGGAAGAUAUGAAGUCUACUUUUUCUCCAGGCCACUCAUGUUUUUCUCCAGGUCAGAGCUCUUUCGUCAUUGGGAAUGUCUAUGAUCAUUCUGGUCCAUCUCUAAUGGAGCUUCUUUAUCCUGAAUCUAGCAAGCAAGCAUUCAACACACACAAAGGCACUAAAUACUGGUUCACAAUAUGCCAGAAGAAAAAGAUUGUUAUUACUGAUUUUAUCUAUUAAUCUGCUUGUAGUACGGUAAUUCACAAGUUUCACUACCAAAGAUUUUAUCUAUUAACCUGCUGACAAGUUUAUAUGUCAAUACGGAUUCUCCAAUGUUUUGAAAACUUUUAGUUUAUAUUGUCAGGGGAAAACCAUUCUAAGACAGGGGGAAGAAGCUUGUUGGUGGUGGUGUCGCCAUUCUCUUUCUGGUACCAGUAGUUAUAUAGUAUGAGACUGUGAGUUAUGUCUUUUGUCAUUUGAGCAUGUUAUUGUCAAGAGCUUGAAAGGCUUGUCAGCUGGACUCGAGAAACAGCACCCAGGAGAAUUUUAUGACUGCACAAGAGUAGUUCAGUACCAAAGUCUGUAUGAAAGAUUGGAGAUGUGACUAUGGAUUGGAGAUGUUUUGUUCUCUUGACUAAAUAUUUGAAUCGUUGCAUUGAAGUCGUAGUGGUCUUCCACUGCUGAAUCCAUAGUUGUUUAGAUUUCUGUACGAAAACUUGUCUGUACGAAAGAUUUUAAGUUUGGAUGCAUCCAACGUUGAUGUA